rnacentral:rRNA from 1 species
AUACGGAGGGUGCGAGCGUUAUCCGGAUUUAUUGGGUUUAAAGGGAGCGUAGGUGGGAUAUUAAGUCAGCUGUGAAGGUUUGGGGCUCAACCUUAAAAUUGCAGUUGAUACUGGUUUCCUUGAGUACGGUACAGGUGGGCGGAAUUCGUGGUGUAGCGGUGAAAUGCUUAGAUAUCACGAAGAACUCCGAUCGCGAAGGCAGCUCACCGGGCCGGAACUGACACUGAUGCUCGAAAGUGCGGGUAUCAAACAGGAUUAGAUACCCUGGUAGUCCGCACAGUAAACGAUGAAUACUCGCUGUUUGCGAUACACUGUAAGCGGCCAAGCGAAAGCGUUAAGUAUUCCACCUGGGGAGUACGCCGGCAACGGUGAAACUCAAAUGAAUUGACGGGG